rnacentral:snRNA from 1 species
CCAGUGCUCGCUUCAACAGGACAUGCUAAAAUUAGAACAAUACAGAGAAGAUUCGCAGGUCCCUGAGCAAGAAUGACACCAAAAUUCAUGAAGUGUUCAAUACAUUU